GACGAACGCUGGCGGCGUGCCUAAUACAUGCAAGUCGAACGCAGUGGGGACGGGUGAGUAACACGUGGGUAACCUCCCAUCAGAGGGGAUAACACUUGGAAAAAGGUGCUAAACCGAUACUGGUUGAUGGACCAGCGGUGCAUUAGCUAGUUGGAGGGGUAACGGCUCACCAAGGCCACGAUGCAUAGCUGGCCUGAGAGGGUGAUCGGCCACACUGGGACUGAGACACGGCCCAGACUCCUACGGGAGGCAGCAGUAGGGAAUAUUGCGCAAUGGACGAAAGUCUGACCGAGCAACGCCGCGUGAGUGAAGAAGGUUUUCGGGUCGUAAAGCUCUGUCGUUAGAGAAGCGGUAUCUAACCAGGAAGCCCCGGCUAACUACGUGCCAGCAGCAGCGGUAAUAC
rnacentral:rRNA from 1 species